rnacentral:rRNA from 1 species
GGGCCUUGCGCUUAUCAAGAUGAAGCCUUAGGUCGGAUUAGCUAGUUGGUGAGGUAAUGGCUCACCAAGGCGGACGAUCCGUAACUUGGUCUGAGAGGAUGAUCAAGUCACACUGGAACUUGAGACACGGUCCAGACUCCUACGGGAGGCAGCAGUGGGGAAUAUUGGACAAUGGGCGAAAGCCUUGAUCCAGCCAUGCCGCGUGUGUGAAGAAGGUCUUCGGAUUGUAAAGCACUUUAAGUUGGGAGGAAGGGCAGUUACCUAAUACGUGAUUGUUUUGACGUUACCGACAGAAUAAGCACCGGCUAACUCUGUGCCAGCAGCCGCGGUAAUACAGAGGGUGCAAGCGUUAAUCGGAAUUACUGGGCGUAAAGCGCGCGUAGGUGGUUUGUUAAGUUGGAUGUGAAAUCCCCGGGCUCAACCUGGGAACUGCAUUCAAAACU